rnacentral:rRNA from 1 species
UACGUAGGGGGCUAGCGUUGUCCGGAUUUAUUGGGCGUAAAGAGCGUGUAGGCGGCCAUUUAGGUCCGGUGUGAAAACUCGAGGCUUAACCUCGAGAUGUCAUCGGAAACCAUUUGGCUAGAGUCCGGAAGAGGAGAGUGGAAUUCCUGGUGUAGCGGUGAAAUGCGCAGAUAUCAGGAAGAACACCAAUGGCGAAAGCAGCUCUCUGGGACGGUACUGACGCUGAGACGCGAAAGCGUGGGGAGCGAACAGG